CUCUGUGACUCCUACGGGAGGCAGCAGUGGGGAAUAUUGCACAAUGGGGGAAACCCUGAUGCAGCCAUGCCGCGUGUGUGAAGAAGGCCUUCGGGUUGUAAAGCACUUUCAGUAGGGAGGAAGGUAGUGUAGUUAACACCUGCAUUAUUUGACGUUACCUACAGAAGAAGCACCGGCUAACUCCGUGCCAGCAGCCGCGGUAAUACGGAGGGUGCGAGCGUUAAUCGGAAUUACUGGGCGUAAAGCGCAUGCAGGCGGCCUGUUAAGUCAGAUGUGAAAGCCCGGGGCUUAACCUCGGAAUUGCAUUUUGAAACUGGCAGGCUAGAGUCUUGUAGAGGGGGUAGAAUUUCAGGUGUAGCGGUGAAAUGCGUAGAGAUCUGAAGGAAUACCAGUGACGAAGGCGGCCCCCUGGACAAAGACUGACGCUCAGAUGCGAAAGCGUGGGGAGCAAACAGGAUUAGAUACCCUGGUAG
rnacentral:rRNA from 1 species